rnacentral:rRNA from 1 species
AGGGUUUGAUCAUGGCUCAGGAUGAACGCUGGCGGCAUGCCUAAUACAUGCAAGUCGAACGAGGCGGAAGGAAGCUUGCUUUCUGAGGCCUAGUGGCGAACGGGUGAGUAACACGUGGGCAAUCUGCCCGUAUGUCGUGGAUAACGGUUGGAAACGACAGCUAAUACAGGAUGAGCAUCCCGAAGGCAUCUUUGGGAUGGAAAAGGGGCCAAGGCCCCGCAUACGGAUGAGCCUGCGGUGCAUUAGCUGGUUGGUGAGGUAACGGCUCACCAAGGCGAUGAUGCAUAGCCGACCUGAGAGGGUGACCGGCCACAUUGGGACUGAGACACGGCCCAA